UGGCUCAGACAGUAAAGCAUCUGCCUGCAAUGCAGGAGACCCGGGUUCGAUCCCUGG
rnacentral:tRNA from 1 species